rnacentral:tRNA from 1 species
GGAAGGGUGGCAGAGUGGUCGAUUGCACCGGUCUUGAAAACCGGAGCGCCCGCAAGGGUGCCGGGGGUUCGAAUCCCUCCCCUUCCGCCA